UACAGAGGUCUCAAGCGUUGUUCGGAUUCAUUGGGCGUAAAGCGCGUGUAGGCGGUUCGGUAAGUCUGCUGUGAAAGUCCAGGGCUCAACCCUGGGAUGCCGGUGGAUACUGUCGGACUAGAGUACGGAAGAGGCGAGUGGAAUUCCCGGUGUAGCGGUGAAAUGCGCAGAUAUCGGGAGGAACACCAAUUGUGAAGGCAGCUCGCUGGGACGUCACUGACGCUGAGACGCGAAAGCGUGGGGAGCAAACAGG
rnacentral:rRNA from 1 species